rnacentral:lncRNA from 1 species
AGAAGCUUAGCAAGUUCUAGGCAACUUAGUAAAAUCCUGGACCUUGUCUCAAAAUAAAAAAUAAAAAGGACUGGAUGUGGCUCAGUGGUUAAGUACCCCUAGUUAAAUUAAAAAAAGAAAGAAAGAAAAGAGAAGUAAAUGAAGACAAUUAACAAGUCUUUUAAGAUUAAAUGAGAUAGCAUUUAAAAGACCUACCUAGAAUAGUAUCUGUUACAAAGUUGAAAUUCAACAAAUUCUGGACCCACCACCUGGGUUCUGCCUACUUAAACACACCUGAUGGUUCCUUACAGGGGUCAGAGUCUAUAAUCAAGGUGGGCACAAAUCAUGGGUAUAGUUGGGAAAUAUGAGCAGAAUUUCAGUUAAUCUUAAUUAGUUACACAAAAUAAAUCUUUUGUUCCUGACAUUAAUCUUGGAAUUCAUUUUUGGUACAUUCCCCCCACCCCCUUUUUCUUCAUAAAUACCAGAUUUUCUUGAGGUCAGGGACUUUGGCAGUGGGCAGGUAAGUGUGGUGUUGGGGGACUCCCUCCUGACCCUCUUUUGUUUAGUCUGCUAUUAAAUACAACAGCUUUCAGAAACUAAGGUGAGAACAGGUAGCCCUGAAGCCUGCUGGGGAGCAGAAGGAAGUCAAUUUAGGGUUUUAAGUUUAGGGUGAAAAAAAUUCAUCAAUUGUAUAGUUCACAAUAGGGUAAAGAGUGAAUUUCUAUUUAAAAUCUGUCUUUUCAGGGCUGGGGACAUAGCUCAGUGGAAGGGAGCUUGCUUAACAUGUGAAAGGCCCCAAAUUCAAUUCCUGGCACCUAAAUAAAAUCUGUCUUUUCCAGGAGAAUACUAACUGGGAAGCUUCCUCUCACUGUUUUGGUGGUGUUCAUAAUGCAUGCACCUGCCUUGGGACUGAAGGGACUAUGGGGGGAGACACUCAAGGGAAUUUAGAAUUUGGGGGAAGACAGGUGAGUUUUAGACCCAGGGCCAGCUAUUCACCCAAGGGCUUUAGUGGAAUUGCCCUGCGGUCUACCCCAGAGAUGGCUCUGAGCACAGGAGGUUAGAGUUUCCUGUCUCCAGAAGACAGCUGUUACAGGUGAGGGAGAAAUGAAGCUUGAUUGGCUAGAAUGGGAGAAGCAAGGAGGCCGUGGGGGGACUUUCCUGUCCUGUCCCUGUCUCAAAAGUGGAACUACUUCCUUUCUUCUGCAGUCUUGCUUUGAAAGCAGUCCACUCUGCACUCUCUCUGCGCCUUCUUCCUUCUCAGCAGCUCUGCCUCUGCCACAGGGGUGACAGACAGAUUAAGGGUUUAUGUAUUAUUU